AUAAGAAAACGAUUUGUACGGAUGUGAGGAAAACUGAGGUUUAUAUAAGAAGGGCAAAAGCAUUGGCUGAGUCUGUUUCGUGUCACCACCUAAAUUUGGGAAAAUAAUUGUGUGGAAUACAAUUUCAAUUUCUAUGGUUUCAAACUUGUUAUUUAUAAUUUGUUUCAGUGCUGUGCGUCUCUCGGCUCUCGAGCCGAGAGCCGACUUUUUUUAAGAGCCGCACAGCACGGAUUUGUUUCACCACAAUGCA
ensembl:snoRNA ZC410.9 ncRNA